rnacentral:rRNA from 1 species
AUUGAACGCUGGCGGCAGGCCUAACACAUGCAAGUCGAACGAGUGGCGGACGGGUGAGUAAUGUCUGGGAAACUGCCUGAUGGAGGGGGAUAACUACUGGAAAAGGUAGCUAAUACCGCAUACCAUCGGAUGUGCCCAGAGGGGAUUGGCUAGUAGGUGGGGUAAAGGCUCACCUAGGCGACGAGCCCUAGCUGGUCUGAGAGGAUGACCGGCCACACGGGAACGGAGACACGGGCCAGAGUCCUACGUGAGGCAGCAGUGGGUAAUAUUGCACAAUGGGCGCAAGCCGGAUGCAGCCAUGCCGCGUGUAGGAAGAAGGCCUUCGGUUUGUAAAGUACUUUCAGCGGGGCGGCGUUACCCGCAGAAGAAGCCCCGGCUAACUCCGUGCCAGCCGCCGCGGUAAUUC